GAUGAACGCUGACAGAAUGCUUAACACAUGCAAGUCAACUUGAACUUCGGUUUGGGUGGCGGACGGGUGAGUAACGCGUAAAGAACUUGCCUCACAGAUAGGGACAACAUUUGGAAACGAAUGCUAAUACCUGAUAUUAUGAUUAUAUGGCAUCGUAUAAUUAUGAAAGCUAUAUGCGCUGUGAGAGAGCUUUGCGUCCCAUUAGCUAGUUGGAGAGGUAACGGCUCACCAAGGCGAUGAUGGGUAGCCGGCCUGAGAGGGUGAUCGGCCACAAGGGGACUGAGACACGGCCCUUACUCCUACGGGAGGCAGCAGUGGGGAAUAUUGGACAAUGGACCAAGAGUCUGAUCCAGCAAUUCUGUGUGCACGAUGAAGUUUUUCGGAAUGUAAAGUGCUUUCAGUUGGGAAGAAAAAAAUGACGGUACCAGCAGAAGAAGUGACGGCUAAAUACGUG
rnacentral:rRNA from 1 species